rnacentral:lncRNA from 1 species
AAAUGAUUAUUAUUCUUCAAGAAGAAAUCCACUAACAGCAUCCUUUUCAGAAUGAAGAUCUGAAAAGGAAGAGAUUAUCUCCUCUUUAAUGCUGUAUCCCAAAGCCUAGAAGAACCAGAGACUUACUAGCUAAUCAAUAAAUAUUGCUGAGUAAAUAAAUGACAGACAUUUGCAUGCAGGCCUCAAGGAGCAGCUGAAGUGAUAGAGGUAGAAUGAGGCAAUAAAUUAUUAGCAAAGAGAGCGGAGUAUUUACAGGCAGCGAUAUACUAAUGAACCUAAAAAUUUGGAGAAUAUUUGGAAAAAUAAAAGAGCUUGCAUCCCUGGAAUGCAACGAAAAGAAAAGUGCUCAAAAAGUGAUAAUAUACACAGUGUCAAUUUGUUCACUGCUUUUUUGGAAUGUUUGAAAUUUAUUGUAAGUAGAUCAUUUAUCCAUUAGAGUGACUAAGUGUUUUAAGAGUAUAGUUCUAUAAUCCCAUUCAAUUAGCUUUUAUUUAAUGGGUUCCUUCUGGUGGUGGACAUUUGAGUUGUUUACAGUUAUUAAGAAUAAAACUACUAUAAACAUA